rnacentral:rRNA from 1 species
AACGAACGCUGGCGGCAGGCCUAAAACAUGCAAGUCGAACGAUCUAGCAAUAGAUAGUGGCGCACGGGUGAGUAACACGUGGGAAUAUCCCUUUCACUACGGAACAAUGUCGGGAAACUGACGCUAAUACCGUAUAAUGUCUCCGGACCAAAGAUUUAUCGGUGAAAGAUUAGCCCGCGUCUGAUUAGCUAGUUGGUGAGGUAACGGCUCACCAAGGCAACGAUCAGUAGCUGGUCUGAGAGGAUGAUCAGCCACGCUGGAACUGAGACACGGUCCAGACUCCUACGGGAGGCAGCAGUUAGGAAUAUUGGACAAUGGGGGCAACCCUGAUCCAGCCGUGCCGCGUGUGUGACGAAGGCCUUAGGGUUGUAAAGCACUUUCGUCUACGAAGAUAAUGACAGUAGUAGAAGAAGAAGCUCCGGCUAAAUUCGUGCCAGCCGCCGCAGUAA